rnacentral:rRNA from 1 species
ACGAACGAGACUCUAGCCUGCCNAAUAGUUAGCGGAUACCGAUUCGUCCGCUUUAACUUCUUAGAGGGACAAGUGGCGUUCAGCCACACGAGAUUGAGCAAUAACAGGUCUGUGAUGCCCUUAGAUGUUCGGGGCCGCACGCGCGCUACACUGAAAGAAUCAGCGUGUGUCUACCCUGGUCCGGAAGGAUUGGGUAACCCGUUGAACCUCUUUCGUGCUAGGGAUUGGGGCUUGUAAUUAUUCCCCAUGAACGAGGAAUUCCCAGUAAGCGCGAGUCAUAAGCUCGCGUUGAUUACGUCCCUGCCCUUUG